rnacentral:rRNA from 1 species
GUCCACGCCCUAAACGAUGUCGACUGGUUGUUGGGGUUUGACACUCUCAGUAACGAAGCUAACGCGUGAAGUCGACCGCCUGGGGAGUACGGCCGCAAGGUUAAAACUCAAAGGAAUUGACGGGACCCGCACAAGCGGUGGAUUAUGUGGAUUAAUUCGAUGCAACGCGAAAACCUUACCUACCCUUGACAUGUCCGAGAGCCUGGAGAGAUCCAGGUGUGCCCCGAAAGGGAAUCGGAACACAGGUGCUGCAUGGCUGUCGU